rnacentral:rRNA from 1 species
UACGGAGGGAGCUAGCGUUGUUCGGAAUUACUGGGCGUAAAGCGUGCGCAGGCGGUUAUGUAAGACAGGUGUGAAAUCCCCGGGCUUAACCUGGGAACUGCAUUUGUGACUGCAUAGCUAGAGUACGGUAGAGGGGGAUGGAAUUCCGCGUGUAGCAGUGAAAUGCGUAGAUAUGCGGAGGAACACCGAUGGCGAAGGCAAUCCCCUGGACCUGUACUGACGCUCAUGCACGAAAGCGUGGGGAGCAAACAGGAUUAGAUACCCUGGUAGUCCACGCCCUAAACGAUGUCAACUGGUUGUUGGGUCUUCACUGACUCAGUAACGAAGCUAACGCGUGAAGUUGACCGCCUGGGGAGUACGGCCGCAAGGUUG